rnacentral:misc_RNA from 1 species
AUUAUUAAUGGGUUUGCUCUGCCUCUGAAAGAGGAACACAAAAUGUUCCUUAUUCAUGUUUUAAUUCCUCUUCACAAGCCAAGAUGCUUGGCAAUGUACCAUCAGCCAUUGUCAUACUGCAUUAUGCAGUUUGUGGAGAAAGACUACAACCUUUCUGAUGCAAUAAUAAGGGGUUUGCUAAAGUACUGGCCUCUAACUAAUAGCUCAAAGGAAGUCAUGUUCCUGAAUGAGCUGGAGGAAGUUUUGGAAGCAACCCGGCCAGCAGAAUUUCAGCGUUGUAUGGUGCCCCUCUUUCUGCAAAUCGCUCGGUGUUUGAACAGUUCCCACUUUCAGGUGGCAGAGAGAGCAUUGUUCUUGUGGAACAAUGAUGCCAUUGAGAGCUUGAUUAUACAAAACCGUAAGGUUAUACUGCCCAUUAUCUUCCCUGCUCUGGAGAAAAAUACUAGAAACCACUGGAAUCAAGCUGUCCGUAGCUUGACCUUAAAUGUCCGCAAGAUCUUUUACGAUCUUGAACCGGAGCUAUCCAAUGAAUGCUUACUUAAUUUUGAAGAAGCAGAAAGGAAGGAAGAUGAAAAAUAAAGCAAGAUGUGAAGCUACAUGGAAACGCUUAGAACAGCUUGCUUCUCAGAAAACUUAAAGGAACAAAGCAUGCUAAUUCCUGGCAUAUCAGCCCCUCACUCCUCUUCAGGUUCGCAAAAGUAGAAAUUUUUAUUGGCAUUACUAUGGACAGUCAAUUUUUUAUUAAGACCAGAUUCAUUACACUGAUAAGAAGUAGUCAAGUGUUUGCGGGCUGUUAAAUUUUCUCUUCUUACAGUAUGUUUGAUCCUUGCCAAUUACCAAAGCCUAUAAGCAUUUUGUAAAUUGAUCCUUGUGUUAUAAUUCUAAU